GACGAACGCUGGCGGCGUGCUUAACACAUGCAAGUCGAACGGUAAGGCCCUUCGGGGUACACGAGUGGCGAACGGGUGAGUAACACGUGGGUGAUCUGCCCUGCACUUCGGGAUAAGCCUGGGAAACUGGGUCUAAUACCGGAUAGGACCACUGCCUGCAUGGGUGGUGGUGGAAAGCUUUUGCGGUGUGGGAUGGGCCCGCGGCCUAUCAGCUUGUUGGUGGGGUGAUGGCCUACCAAGGCGACGACGGGUAGCCGGCCUGAGAGGGUGACCGGCCACACUGGGACUGGGAUACGGCCCAGACGCCUACGGGAGGCAGCAGUGGGGAAUAUUGCACAAUGGGCGCAAGCCUGAUGCAGCGACGCCGCGUGAGGGAUGACGGCCUUCGGGUUGUAAACCUCUUUCAGCACCGACGAAGCGCAAGUGACGGUAGGUGCAGAAGAAGGACCGGCCAACUACGUGCCAGCAGCCGCAGUAA
rnacentral:rRNA from 1 species